ACUCGGGGAUAGCCUUUCGAAAGAAAGAUUAAUACCCGAUGGCAUAGUUCUUCCGCAUGGUGAACUAUUAAAGAAUUUCGGUCAUCGAUGGGGAUGCGUUCCAUUAGGUUGUUGGCGGGGUAACGGCCCACCAAGCCUUCGAUGGAUAGGGGUUCUGAGAGGAAGGUCCCCCACAUUGGAACUGAGACACGGUCCAAACUCCUACGGGAGGCAGCAUG
rnacentral:rRNA from 1 species